rnacentral:rRNA from 1 species
CAAUCAAGUGUCUUAAGGGCAUUUGGUGGAUGCCUUGGCGCUGAGAGGCGAUGAAGGACGUACUACGCUGCGAUAAGCCGCGGGGAGCUGCGAAGAAGCUUUGAUCCGCGGAUUUCCGAAUGGGGAAACCCACCUUCGAGGCCGGAAUUCAGGGUUCAGGAAUUAGGAGUCAGGACCUCUCGUCCUGACGCCCGACCCCUGAUUUCCGGCUUCAAAAGAAGGUAUGAGACUUCCGAAUAAAAUAGGGGGUUUCAAGCAAACCCAGGGAACUGAAACAUCUCAGUACCUGGAGGAAAGGACAUCAACCGAGACUCCGCUAGUAGUGGCGAGCGAACGCGGACUAGGCCAGUGGCAAUCUCAAGACAACCGGAAGCGUUUGGAAAAAUGCGCCGCAGCGGGUGACAGCCCCGUACGGGUAAUGCGAGAGAUUGUCCUUGAGUAAGGCGGGACACGUGAAAUCCUGUCUGAACAUGGGGGGACCACCCUCCAAGCCUAAGUACUCCUCAGCGACCGAUAGCGAACCAGUACCGUGAGGGAAAGGUGAAAAGCACCCCGACGAGGGGAGUGAAAGAGACCUGAAACCGAAUGCCUACAAACAGAUGGAGCUCAAGGUUCGUCCUGGGUGACAUCGUACCUUUUGUAUAAUGGGCCAGCGACUUAAUCUGACGAGCAAGCUUAAGCCGAUAGGCGGAGGCGCAGCGAAAGCGAGUCUGAACAGGGCGUUCAGUUCGUCGGAUUAGACCCGAAACCUAGUGAUCUAGCCAUGACCAGGCUGAAGGUGGGGUAACACCCACUGGAGGGCCGAACCGGUGUCUGUUGAAAAAGCCUCGGAUGAGUUGUGGCUAGGGGUGAAAGGCCAAUCAAACUAGGAAAUAGCUGGUUCUCCGCGAAAGCUAUUUAGGUAGCGCCUCGCGUGAAUGCUUCGGGGGGUAGAGCACUGGAUGGGCUAGGGGGGCUUACCGCCUUACCAAACCUAACCAAACUCCGAAUACCCGAAAGCAAUGCGCGGGAGACACACGGCGGGUGCUAACGUUCGUCGUGGAGAGGGAAAAAACCCUGACCUACAGCUAAGGCCCCUAAUUCGUGGCUAAGUGGGAAAGGAUGUUGGAAUGCCAAAACAACCAGGAGGUUGGCUUAGAAGCAGCCAUCCUUUAAAGAAAGCGUAACAGCUCACUGGUCUAAACAAGCGUUCCGGCGCCGAAAAUGUAACGGGGCUCAAGCCACGAGCCGAAGCUUAGGGUUCGGAGGACAGUAGACAGACGACAGAGGACGGAUGGAGACCAAGCGACGCAAACGAGUCGUUUCGUUCGAAGACUUGGAAGUCUUUCAACGAGCGUAUCGAAUGUCGCUUGAAAUCCAUCAGCGAAGCUUGACGUUUCCGCCGAUCGAACAACGUGUGUUGGCCGAUCAGUUGCGUCGGGCGAGCAAGUCCAUCUGCGCGAAUGUCGCUGAAGGCUACGGUCGUCAGAAGCGAUCGAAGGCGGAAUUCAAACGCUUUCUGCAAAUGGCGAUCGGUUCGAGCGAUGAGAUGCGAGUUUGGGUGCGCUAUGCGCUCGAUCUCGGAUACAUCGACGAAGCCGUCUGGAGACGGUGGCGUGACGAAUAUCAGAUGAUCUCCCGCAUGCUGCAGAGCUUGGCCGGUAAGGCUGAGUGAGCAACGCGGUACCUUGUCUGUCGUCCGUCGUCUGUCUUCUGUCCUCCGAGCGGUAGCGGAGCGUUCCGUAAGCCUGCGAAGGCGGACCUGCGAGGGCCGCUGGAGGUAUCGGAAGUGCGAAUGCUGGCACGAGUAACGACAAACAGUGUGAAAGACACUG